UGGGGAAUAUUGCACAAUGGGGGAAACCCUGAUGCAGCGACGCCGCGUGAGCGAAGAAGGCUUUCGAGUCGUAAAGCUCUGUCCUAUGAGAAGAUAAUGAUGGUAUCAUAGGAGGAAGCCCGGGCUAAAUACGUGCCAGCAGCCGCGGUAAUACGUAUGGGGCGAGCGUUGUCAGGAAUUAUUGGGCGUAAAGGGUACGUAGGCGGUUUUUUAAGUCAGGUGUCAAAGCGUGGAGCUUAACUCCAUUAAGCACUUGAAACUGAAAGACUUGAGUGAAGGAGAGGAGAGUGGAAUUCCUAGUGUAGCGGUGAAAUGCGUAGAUAUUAGGAGGAGUACCGGUGGCGAAGACGACUUUCUGGACUUUUACUGACGCUCAGGUACGAAAGCGUGGGGAGCAAACAGG
rnacentral:rRNA from 1 species